ACGCUCGACACCUACGGGGGGCAGCAGUGGGGAAUAUUGCACAAUGGGGGAAACCCUGAUGCAGCAACGCCGCGUGAAGGAAGACGGUUUUCGGAUUGUAAACUUCUGUUCUUAGUGAAGAUAGUGACGGUAGCUAAGGAGCAAGCCACGGCUAACUACGCGCCAGCAGCCGCGGUAAUCUGAGCGGGCUGGCAAGGC
rnacentral:rRNA from 1 species